GAGAAAUUAACCUUUAUGUUCACUGUUAAUCAAAAGAAUAAAAUGUAAAUAAAUAUGUAACUGCAGAUCUGCGUGUACAGAUCUACGUGUAUAGUCCAUUCACGUCACUAACAAAGAACCACAGGGAACAAAUACUGCCAUAACAAUUAACCAUAACUUAUCUUAAGAACAUUGUAGCCCAGGGUCAAGGGAAGAACAUAGAAAGGACCGAAGAAGAUUUUCAUAGGUCUUCCUCACCGACCAUCAGGAGGAAGGACUGUGUGCAUGCGCAGAAGACACCGGAAGAAUGACUCGACAAAGACUGUGAGCAUGCGCAGAAGAAACCGGAAGAGCGACUCGACGGAAACUACGGAUGCUUAAAAGGGGGGGGUCAUAACCACACGCGGUGCGGCAGUUGGUGGAGCGGUGAUUCCCCUGUCGCCCAGCGCUGCAACUUUGCUUCCUUAGCUUUUAUAAUAAACUAGAUAACUAAUUGGCCUAUAUAGCCUGUUGUGCUCAUUUAUGACAACUUGGUGCCGUGACUCGGAUCGGUGAUAAGUGGUGAUUCUCCGUUCGCGGGGGGGGCGCCCCACCAGUCUGGUGGCUCCCGGGGCUGGGGAAGUUGCCCUAAUCCCGACCGACGAACUCAGAGGAAGAGAAGGAAGCAAAGAGGAUUUGAGGGCCCAGGUACCCCUUAAAAGUCUUGUGCACGAGGUCCGGACGAAGACGCAGGACGCGUACAACCCGGAGAUUGGCUUCUAAUCCGAAGCUGGAAAGAAAACCCGCUGACUCCAAAGUGGGAAGGACCGUAUCUCGUACUGCUUACCACGGAUACUGCCGUACGAACAACAGAAAAAGGAUGGACCCACGCCAGUCGGAUAAAAGGACCAGUAGAUCCCUCUAAAUUCUCUGAAGAACAUAACACUCACUGGAAAGCAGAACCGACUAGUGAUUUAAAGCUUGUUUUAAAAAGAGGUACAACUUGAUAAAUGGACACAAGAGACAUUUAGGUGGGGGAUAACUGAACAUUGCAAAAAGAGUUAAUUGAAACCUCAAAACUUGCUCAGCAGCCAUAUUAUAAACCUAUUAGAUUAGAAUGUAAUAGACAAUUGUACAAUGGAAAUAGUUAUGCAAAACAUAAUACCAUUAGAGUAAGGUGUAGUCGGUUAGACUGCCAGUGUUAUCCAUUUGCAUGCUUUGUUGCAGGAUCUGCAAAGAACUGUGGUGAGUCCACUGCCAGUGGGGGAGGGCUCCUAGAAGUGUAUGUCAACCCUGCUGGGAAAACAGCGUGAGUCGACUGCUUUAACCCUACACCAAAAGCUAAAAGUAGGAUCCCCACUUUAGUGGCAAAUAUUUUCUAAAAAAAAAAAAAAAAAAAAAAAAAAAAAAAAAAAAAAUUAAAAAAAAUUAAUCCUAAUCUACAUUGCUAUCACCCUAACAAACCUCCAGGACCGUUUAACACAGAUAUUGUGUUGGUAAAGUGUCGUAAGCAAGUAAAGCAAGUUAGGUGUAACAUUCCACCGCUGAAAAACCAAAAUUAGCAUUCCAAAAGGAAGUGGAAGAGAAAAGUAAACCCUGCCCCUGAAAAAUAUCCUUGCUGCCGUGAAGAUGGUACUCCUCGCAGCUAGUGGCAACCUGGUUGGCGAGCGAGGCAGAGGGAUAGAAUGUGGGGAAAAGGGACCUCGCAUAAAAAUAACAGCAAAAAGGCUUACGACUCUCAAAUACCAGAGGCACGAGGGUAAUAGCAAUGGCCCAUCGGGAGUUAAAAAAGUUAAUUGUACUCACCAACCUGGCAUUAGACUCCACCCAGUUCUAUUUCUAAUCACAAUAUUAAAAUUUGUAAAAAGUGAACAAGAAAGCCAUGAACCCUUCAAGUGGUCAUUGAUAAGGUGGGAAGACCAACGGACUAUUAGAGAAAAUAUUACCAUCGGCCCGCCCAUAUUUCGAACGCCCCUAGGAUUCUUAGGGCCAAAUUGGUACCCAAAUCGAAGUGCCCCCUUUUAUAUGUGCCCAGCCUCGAACCCUGGAAAGGGGUAUUGUAAUCGCCCUGGAGAAUAUUAUUGUGCCUAUUGGGGUUGUGAAACUAUUACAGGGGGAGCCUGGAAUCCACCAAACCCAGACAGGUACUUGAAAAUUAAGUGGGGUCCCUCAGGGUGUACUAAGCCAACACGAUAUAACUUCAUUGAUACAGCUGGAGGAAAUCCUACCGGAACAGUUUGUAAAUUUCUAGAAUUGCGUAUACAGGAUCCGCAAGAUCCUGGAUGGUUAGUAGGAAAAACCUGGGGAGUUAGAUUGAAUGUAGCUGGAAAAGACCCCGGAACCCUAGUCUUAAUAAAAAAAGAACCCGUACCACAUGACCCAGAACCAGUGGGACCUAACCCAGUAAUAGGAAAUAGAAAAAAAGAAAAAUAAUACCGACCUGUUGAUUCCUAAGGAAAAUAAAAUACAAAUUAGCGAUGACACCAAAAGUGUGCCCGAAAAUCAAUCUAAUAAAGGAUAUAAUACCCUCUGGAAAGUGAUGCAAGCCACCUUUGGAAUACUUAAUAGUACAUAUCCAAAUCUCACUAAAGAAUGCUGGCUAUGCUAUGCUAUUAACCCACCUUUUUAUGAAGCAUUAGGAUCCACUGCAAACCCUAAGCGCAUUAAUGGAUCUAAUCCAUGAGAAUGCCUGUGGAAACAAGGAAAAGAAAGUACCCCAGGAAUAUCGAUGGCACAAGUAAAUGAACAUUGUAGCCCAGGGUCAAGGGAAGAACAUAGAAAGGACCGAAGAAGAUUUUCAUAGGUCUUCCUCACCGACCAUCAGGAGGAAGGACUGUGUGCAUGCGCAGAAGACACCGGAAGAAUGACUCGACAAAGACUGUGAGCAUGCGCAGAAGAAACCGGAAGAGCGACUCGACGGAAACUACGGAUGCUUAAA